UUCCUCAUCCGGGCCACCAGGAGGCAACCCGGCAACCCAGGCGUGUUUCCCACCAAAGAAGAAGACGCCGAUAUGAUGGACUAACAAGCUGCGGAGCUGCUUUCUGCGAUGGAUCACGGCCUUCCAGCCAAGCGCAGCUUCUGUCCUCUGGGUGUAAAAUGCGCGCAGAGCAGCAGAGGAACGAAGGACACCAGGAUGGAGGUCCAGGAAGAGGAUGGCAGCACCUGGCUCAGGACAUGCUGGGCUAAAUGAAGACGCGAUGGAAACCAGCGAGUGCAGCGACGCAGAGCUGGGACAGCUGGACGUGGAUCUGGACAGGAAGUCCAGACGGCACA